UCAGCCCACUGAUCUAUAUAUAUAACUGGAUAGCUCAUGACGUCACAACAGUGAAGCUACUGCGCCGCCAUCUUGGUAUUCCCUAACAUUCUGUACUCCUAUGUGUCUCAAUGGGAAAUCGUCUGUUUUGCAGCAUUACGUUCAGCGGCGCACGUGCGCACGUGUUUCAAUAGAAACAAGUUUAAGAAACUGAGUGCAGGCCUGAAUACGGUCCAGCUCACGGGCAUCAUUUAUAAAGUGAUCAAACUUAGGUAAAGUUGCUUUUUAUAUUCGCUUCGCAUAUUUGCGGAGUUCCGCGUUCAAUAUCUCAUGAGCUGAAUUAUUGUUACUACACAAAUAACAUUGUUUUAAUAUUUUAAUCUCCUCAAAACGAGCUUUCCUUCGGGUUUGCACUUUGCAGAUGGUCCCUUUUUAGCAGCCUGCGCAUAGAGAUCAAUGUAUUUUGUCCAGUGCGAAGGAAAGAUCGUUUUGAGGAAAUUUAUGUUGUAGCUUCUGGUGUUUUAUCUGUAGUUAUAUGUGAUAGGUGUUGUGUGUAGCAACAACGUUUAGUUCACGAGUUAUUGAACGCGGAAGUCCGCGAAUGUGCGAAUAUGCGAAUAUAAAACCAACUUUACCUAAGUAGUGAUCAAUUGGAAUAGACGAGGAGCAGGGCAGGACUGGUAAUCUGGACUACCGGACAUUUUUCCGGUGGACCGGGACCGACAAACUUUGGGGCCGAUCAGGGUGGACUGGCCAUCGGGAGAACCGAGCGGGUCGCUGUGUCGGCCGCGAUAAUCUAAAACGAGCCGCCGCGUUAGCGAACACUACCCCCCCAACAACUUUUUGACAGUUAUGUCAAAUCCCGGGCCGAUUUCUCUUUCCAGUCCAGCCCUGAAAAGAUGCACAUGGAUAUUGUUGAAGUUAAACAAGGUAAAUUUGCCGUUUGGAUUUCAAUAAACAUCGCACGCUAGAUAAAACUGGAAUUGGUUUGCAACAGGAGGAAAAGCUGUAUGAGGAGUCAGCCUGGCUUCACUGAAGAGCUGUUUUAACAGAGUAAAAAAUAUUAUACUGUCUGUUUUUAUUUGCAAUGAAGAUACUUUUGCAACAUGCAGUAUAAGUCUCAUAAAAUUACUGUGUUUCAGAUAGUUAUAACAUUUAAUAUUAAUAGAAAAGUUGACCCAAAUAUGUAAAUUCUGUCAUCAUAUACUCAACUUCAUGUCC